rnacentral:rRNA from 1 species
AUUGAACGCUGGCGGCAGGCCUAACACAUGCAAGUCGAGCGGAUGAAGGGAGCUUGCUCCUGGAUUCAGCGGCGGACGGGUGAGUAAUGCCUAGGAAUCUGCCUGGUAGUGGGGGAUAACGUCCGGAAACGGGCGCUAAUACCGCAUACGUCCUGAGGGAGAAAGUGGGGGAUCUUCGGACCUCACGCUAUCAGAUGAGCCUAGGUCGGAUUAGCUAGUUGGUGGGGUAAAGGCCUACCAAGGCGACGAUCCGUAACUGGUCUGAGAGGAUGAGCAGUCACAGGGGGAAGUAUAGGAGGGGCAGACGACGACGGGACGCACCAGGGGGGGAUAGUGGACAAUGGGCGGAAACCUGAAACAGCCAUACCGCGGGUGGGAAGAAGGCAUGUGGGUUGUAAAGCCCUUUUGGUUGGAAAGAAAAGCAGCAGGUUAAUACCUCGCUGUUCGGACGUGACCAAAAGAAUAAGCACCGGCUAACUUCACG